ACUCCCAGGCUGUGUUGCAUAGAGCAGAGAGAUCUUUGUGCGUAGUGUUGGCAACACCGUUUGGGAGCGAAAUUUUGUUUGUAUACAGUCACCAUGUGUCACAUGUGCUUGGUGAAUAUACAGCCGUGAAUAAAGAAGACAAAAAUGAACAACUACAAAGCAUUCUAUGAUUUAAAUAUCGCCAUAAACGAACAAGAGGUGACAAGAUUACGUGACAUCUGCGAUACACUUGUGACUUAUGGCUACAAGACUGUAGCUCUCAAUUAUGAAAUCGAAGAUCUAGGCAGUGACACAAAGAAGAAGAAAAAGAAGAAAGGAGAAAUACGUGAAGUUACCGAUAUUGUACCAGAACCGCUAGAAAUAAGUGCACUUGUUAAGGAAUUUGGUGACAAAUUGACCUUAGUACACAGGCUGACAUUUCCAUUUUCUGAUCAGCAACAAUUUCACAUGCUGAAUCAGUCGAAAAACCUGAAGAAGUAUAAGAUCCUAGCAGCUGUGCCAAAAACACAAUCAGCAUUUCAGAGUGCCUGCAGUAAUCUGGAUAUUGAUAUUAUAUCUCUAGAUUGUGAAAGCCGAACUUCUAUACGAAUUAACCGGAAAAUGUAUAACCUAGCAGUGGAAAGAGGAACUUUCUUUGAAAUAAUGUAUGCACCUGCCAUUCUUGAUUCAACAGCCAGAAGAAACACUAUAUAUAUGGCACAUAUGUACCACACAUUUGGGAAGUCUAAGAAUGUCAUAAUUUCAAGUGGCGCACGAGAAUCAAAAUAUAUUAGAGGGCCAUAUGAUAUAGUGAACUUAGGGUUAAUUUUUGGACUGAGUGAGGAACAGACAAAGAAAGCAGUUAGCUCUACAUGCAGAGCCUUACUUACACAUGCAGGGUAUGAAGUAUAGUAUACUUUUAUACUAUUGCCACAAAUACUGCUUGCACAUCUGCUGUAUUCCUUGUUGAACAAGAGAAUGGGAAAUGGACCAUGCUGCUGACACAAGAAGUGGAAACUGUAUUGAAUUCUAAACGCUAUGGCCGACGUUGUGGCAAGAUCAUUGCUUGUAUACAAAGUGAUACAUCACCAGGAAGAAGCAAUGAAGUGUCAAUAACAAACAUCUGUGACCAGGAAGUGAACAUGGAUGAAGAAGAUUUGGGACCCACACAAAAGAAAAUGAAACAGUGAUAUGCGUCUUUUUAAUUGUACUGUUGUAAACAACUUUGACUGUUAUCAGCAUAAAUUAUUGUUAUUA